UACGUAGGGUGCGAGCGUUAAUCGGAAUUACUGGGCGUAAAGCGUGCGCAGGCGGUUCGUUAAGUUCGUUGUGAAAGCCCCGGGCUCAACCUGGGAACUGCAAUGGAAACUGGCGGGCUUGAGUGCGGCAGAGGGGGUGGAAUUCCGGCGUGUAGCAGUGAAAUGCGUAGAGAUGCGGAGGAACACCGAUGGCGAAGGCAGCCCCUGGGCCGACACUGACGCUCAGGCACGAAGCGUGGGGAGCAAACAGG
rnacentral:rRNA from 1 species